GCGUCUAUAGCUCAGUUGGUUAGAGCGCUACCUUGACAUGGUAGAGGUCCCCAGUUCGAAUCUGGGUAGUCCUACCA
rnacentral:tRNA from 1 species